rnacentral:misc_RNA from 1 species
CCAAUAGCGUAUAUUAAAGUUGUUGCAGUUAAAAAGCUCGUAGUUGAAUUUCGGGAUCAAUAUGUUGGUCGUGCCUUGGUACGUACUAGCUUAUUGAUUUCUUCCUUCUGACGAACCAUGAUGUCAUUAAUUUGGUGUCUUGGGGAAUCAGGACUGUUACUUUGAAAAAAUUAGAGUGUUUAAAGCAGGCUCACGCUUGAAUACAUUAGCAUGGAAUAAUGAAAUAGGACGUUUGAUUCUAUUUUGUUGGUUUCUAGGAUCGACGUAAUGAUUAAUAGGGAUAGUUGGGGGCAUUAGUAUUCAAUUGUCAGAGGUGAAAUUCUUGGAUUUAUUGAAGACUAACUACUGCGAAAGCAUUUGCCAAGGAUGUUUUCAUUAAUCAAGAACGAAAGUUAGGGGAUCGAAGACGAUCAGAUACCGUCGUAGUCUUAACCAUAAACUAUGCCGACUAGGGAUCGGAUGAUGUUAAUUUUUUAAUGACUCAUUCGGCGCCUUACG